AACAACUCAUUUAAAUUAAUCUCAAUUGUUUCAUAAAACCAAAUAUGUUGAACUAUUGUGUGAUUAAGCUUCUGUAU